CACCAGGUUUGCCGCCAGCACGCGACCAAACCCAUAAACCUGACACACAGAGAGAUCUAUUCACACUAACAGAAUAGAGAACAAGAACAUGUAACAAAUUCAGCAUGACUAAUGCCUCUGUGAGUAAUCCAACAUGCUGUCAAUCAUUACUCACACAGAGAGCACUGUCUCCGCUCUCAUUGGUCCGAAUGUGGACCUGCUGUGCGCUUCUUCAAAGCCCAGUCCCGUGACUCCCAUCGUGAGGCGAAAGACCCAGGGCCGAGCUGCGUUGGGUGCAGCAGAGGAAGAAAGGCAGUGAUUAUAUGGACAUGGGUUGUUCUUGUCGCCGCGGUCACGGCCAAAGACCCGCUCACCCCACUUUCAUGUGUCCCUGCUCAGGAGUGCCUGGAAGGUGAUGCAACGGUAGGAGGCUGUGAUCCAGUCAAAGGUGGCAGCAUCCGCUCUGGUUCUGCACUAAGAUGGAGCCGCGUGCAGGUGCAUCGGCCAAGUGCUAUUCAAGUUUUGGCAGCUACUUUGUUUUUAUUGUGUCCUUUUUUUUUUUUUUUAAGUACAUCAGCAGCAUAUGUACAGUAUAGUAGAGCUGAGAUUUGAAUGUUCUAUUUUGUUAUUUUACUAUUUAAAUUUUAUAUUUCUGUUUGUUUGUUUAACUGUCAUGUUGAGAGCUGCUUAACUCCGUUGUGUUGUUGAAAACAAUGACAAUAAAGAUCUGUUCUGUUCUAUUCCA